UGGUUAGGCUUUAGAAGUUUG
rnacentral:piRNA from 1 species